CACCCAGGCGAGAACCCUGAGGGCCGAAGUGGAGAAGGGUUUCUCGAGAACGGCACUCGCUCGAGAGUUAGUCGAUCCUAAGCUGCCGGCGGCAGCCACGAAACGGUCGAUCGGGCGCGAGCCCGGCAGCCACGACCGGGCAGCGAAAGGGAAUUGGGAACCUCCUUCCCAAACCCGGAACCGGAACGAGGGCGGCGACGCGAACGAAACGGCCGCGGAGACGGCGGCCGCGGCCCCGGAGAGAGUUCUCUUUUCUGUGCGACUGGACGUCGGCCCCGGAAUCGCGUCGAGCGGAGGGGGGUCGGAGUUCAGGAAUAGCACCCCGGCCUUUCGGGGUGUCCGGGCGGCCGCGGUCGUCCCAUGAAAAUCCGCGGAUGAACGAGUAGGCGACGGUCCGGGUCGUACCAAUGACCGCAUCGGGUCUCCAAGGUUGAAAGCCUCUGG
rnacentral:rRNA from 1 species